UUAACUAUUGUAUAGUACUCAGACGACACUAAUAUUCAGGGUUUAGGGUCCUCUGGCGGGCGCGUACUAGCCGGGGCCAGUAGUCACGCGUGAGCCUGACGGCCCGCCAAAGCAACAAAGUGAGAAUAACAUAGGGUGGGAGAUCUACCCAUAGGGCAUGAACUCUGUAAUGAUCCCUCCGCAGGUUCACCUACGGAGA
rnacentral:misc_RNA from 1 species